rnacentral:rRNA from 1 species
UUGAACGCUGGCGGCAUGCUUUACACAUGCAAGUCGAACGGCAGCGCGGGCUUCGGCCUGGCGGCGAGUGGCGAACGGGUGAGUAAUGCAUCGGAACGUGCCCAGUAGUGGGGGAUAGCCCGGCGAAAGCCGGAUUAAUACCGCAUACGACCUGAGGGUGAAAGCGGGGGACCGAAAGGCCUCGCGCUAUUGGAGCGGCCGAUGUCGGAUUAGCUAGUUUGUGGGGUAAAGGCUUACCAAGGCGACGAUCCGUAGCUGGUCUGAGAGGACGACCAGCCACACUGGGACUGAGACACGGCCCAGACUCCUACGGGAGGCAGCAGUGGGGAAUUUUGGACAAUGGGGGCAACCCUGAUCCAGCCAUGCCGCGUGCGGGAAGAAGGCCUUCGGGUUGUAAACCGCUUUUGUUCGGGAAGAAAUCCUCUGGGCUAAUACCCCGGGGGGAUGACGGUACCGGAAGAAUAAGCACCGGCUAACUACGUG